rnacentral:rRNA from 1 species
GAGGUGAACGGCCGGCCCGGCCGUUGAAUAGCGAUAGAAGGAGGAGAUAGGGGUUAGCUUUCCUUUCGUUUUCGUUCGUUUCUCGUACAUCUAGGUUCUGCACACGGGUACCUACGCUGGAGUGGACGGGGACGGGGACGGGCUGGCGGAUAUUCUGCCGGCAGCUGGUGUGGUGGAGGGUUCACCUCAGGAAGUAAGGUAAGGCAAGGUAAAGGUAUGCAAAGAAGGAGCUCAGUUCACCGAGAACUAACUAGGGUGGUGGUCGGCGUGGUGGUUGCAGAAGACAGGCAUCGAGGAACCACGGAUCGACGACACAAGUGUAGUGUAGAGGUAGCUACUUCUGCUUCGUCCGAAGGUUCCGGUUCCGCCGCGGCAGCGGCCCCUUCCUCCUCCUUCGUCAACGUAGCCCACCAAAGGCGUUCCCCGGUACCUGCCUCGUCCUCCUGUACUUCGACCGCACCAAGCACGCCGAGAAGCCGCUCGCGGCGACCCUAAAGAAUCGAUUCCACAGUCCAAACGUUCCACCGCCCACUGGGUACGGCACGGUACGUACGCGGUACGUACGUACGUACAGACCCUGGUUUUAUACUACAUCGGUACCAGGAAACACACGAUUGCGAGAGCCAGAGGCGGCCGUGGAGAACGAGAACACAAACAGAACCGCUGUCCAGAAUUGGCCUGCCCCUUCUCGACGGCCGAGGCCACCCAGUUGAUGGACGUGGGCCUGGAGUUCGCGCCGGCCUACUCGGGGCUUCUCCUCGCGGAGCAGCAGCUGGAGGUGCGGGCGACCCCGUUGGCGACCAGUGCGUAGCGGUUCCGGUACGGCCCCGCGUGGCUGUUGCUCUAGUUCUUGAUGACCGCGUGGGUGUGGGCGUUCGAGGUGUUCCUGUGCGCGCGGAGACGACGAAGCCGGAGAUGCUGGUGCAGGUGCAGGUACAGCCGCCGCAGAGGCCGGUGGUGCAGGUCGAGGAGGAGAAGUUGCUAGCUGUUGCUGUUGUUGAGCGUAGUGCCGGUGGCGCUGGUUCUCUGCCGCCGGUCGGUCCUUGUUCGCCUAUUGGUCGACGAGAUGUGGCGGCCGUAGCCGUACCUGUCGGUGGAGGAAACCUUGCUGCGGUAGUACCUGAGGAUGCGUACCCCUCGGCGGCACGGCAGCUACUAUCACGGCGGCGGAAGUAGCGGCCACACCCUGAUGACGACGAGCCUAAGCGAGACCCCCUAUCCGCUGCUGCUCCAGCUCAUGUUCUUCUACGAGCGGCAGCGGCCACGGAGUACUAGAAAAAGUAUGUGUUAGCUAGAAACGAAUCGGUUAAUGAUCGACGGUUGAUCGACUUCUACGAAUGCACGUACGCAGGUUCAGUAUAGGAUCGACUCUGCUCUGAACUAUACAUGAGAGGUACACUAGUCACGUACGGACGGAACCCUAAAUACGAAAACAUGUACAUUAGAGGUACACAUACAUACUAUCUCAUUAUUGAUGUGUAUACGUACAUUAAUAAAAAUAAUACCAUAUUAAAAGUUAUAGAGGAAUUACAAAAUCGUUACAUAUUGUCGAUGAUCGACAUGAUAUAUAUGAUCAUGAACUCUUGAGCCUACCUGAAACAUUUUUUCUUUAUUUCUAAACUGGUGGUACUCAUAUAGGGG